GAGCGGUAACAGGUGUAGCAAUACAUGCUGACGAGCGGCGAACGGGUGAGCAAUGCUUCGGAAUCUGCCCAAUGGUGGGGAAUAACCAGCCGAAAGGUUGGCUAAUACCGCAUGAGCCCUACGGGGGAAAGCAGGGGAUCGCAAGACCUUGCGCCGAUGGAUGAGCCGAAGUCGGAUUAGCUAGUUGGUAGGGUAACGGCCUACCAAGGCGACGAUCCGUAGCUGGUCUGAGAGGACGACCAGCCACACUGGGACUGAGACACGGCCCAGACUCCUACGGGAGGCAGCAGUGGGGAAUAUUGGACAAUGGGGGCAACCCUGAUCCAGCGACGCCGCGUGUGUGAAGAAGGCCUGCGGGUUGUAAAGCACUUUUAGUGGGGAUGAAAAGCUCAGGGCUAACACCUCUGGGUCUUGACCUAACCCACAGAAAAAGCACCGGCUAACUCUGUG
rnacentral:rRNA from 1 species